CAGUCGCCGCGGUAAUACGUAGGUCCCGAGCGUUGUCCGGAUUUAUUGGGCGUAAAGCGAGCGCAGGCGGUUAGAUAAGUCUGAAGUUAAAGGCUGUGGCUUAACCAUAGUACGCUUUGGAAACUGUUUAACUUGAGUGCAAGAGGGGAGAGUGGAAUUCCAUGUGUAGUGGUGAAAUGCGUAGAUAUAUGGAGGAACACCGGUGGCGAAAGCGGCUCUCUGGCUUGUAACUGACGCUGAGGCUCGAAAGCGUGGGGAGCAAACAGGAUUAGAUACCCCUGUAGUCCCUGUCUCUUAUACA
rnacentral:rRNA from 1 species